AAUUGUUUGAAUAGCAGGUUUCUGUGGUCAUUUGGCAUUCAACGAAGUUAGCAGGUGUGUUGGAGAUAAAAUGUAUAAAAAAUGUUUAGGGCUUUAUAGAACUAUUAAUUUUGUGUAAUCUUAUCGAAAGCAUUGCAUUCUAAUGAUAAUAUCUCUCAAUUUUGGGUUACGUGACAGGACCAUUUCUUAUACAUGUAGUGGAAAUUAAUUAAAAAAUCAAUAGUAGGGUCUUACCUAAAGAGAGUUUGACUUGUGAAGUAUCUGAAAUAACUGAUAUAAACUUAAGCUAGUUGUUUUUGAAAAUCCUUUGUUUUUCCUUUUUUCAGAAACAACGCCUUCAAAAUUGUUAAGUAAUCAAUAAAGAAAUUUAGACCUAAGUUAGAGCCUGGUUACUUUCAGUCAAUUUAAACACCAGAGGUGCACAUACUUUGCAAUAUUGAUUUUUAAAACAUGCAAUAGCAUUCUGUCCAAGAGAUAUUUGUAAUUUUUGAUGUGUGAAUUGAAAGCAGGAAUGAUUGAGACUUGAAAACAUUGAGACUUGACAACAUUGAGACUUAAAAAAAUGAAUUGCUGUUUUGUUAACUAUUUUAAAUAAACCUUUUAGUUAGGUCUCAUGACAUGCUUGACCGGUUACAGUUCCAAGAAGAAUUUAGACAAGAUUGAGGAACAAUCAUGCUCUGACAGUGCUAGUGGGGAUAUUUUGAAAAACAGUAGAGGUCUCAGGACAUGCCUGAUCGGUUACGAUUCUAUUGAUAAAUUUUAACAAGAUAGUGGAUCAGUGCUAGAGUGGUUUUUGAUGAAGAAUAGUACAGUUAUCCCGUUUGAUGAGAGAUUGUGUUGAUCUAGAAGAAAAUCACUGAUCGGCAACCUGCUGAAGUUUACUUGAGAUACUGUGACAUAAUGCAUCUUAAAUGAAAGGCUUGAAAUUAAGACAAGAGCAAACAUAA